rnacentral:rRNA from 1 species
AUAGCAGCAGGGAGUGUUUUAGGACGAGCUCCUGCGAUCCAUUGUUCACGCGUUGUCAUCAGCUAGUUUCUUUCGAUCGGGUUUUCCAAUACCCAAGUAUGGAAUAGCAGAAACUUUAAUCAGCUCUUUUGGUGAGGCAUGUGCGCCGAAUUUUCCACGGAGCCGACCUUGAACAUCAUUGAGGUCAAUGCUUUGUGUGGUGGCGAUACAGAGUUUCUCGCCCCAUUCUUUAUCUGAUUUUGCAAAGGCCACGAUUUCUAGGGAAGAAAAUUCAGACUGCAGGAAGUUUUCAAUAGCGCUGAGUGAGAUUUUUUCUCCGCCGGAAAUGAUUUGAUCAUCGGAACGUCCACUUACCUUCACAAUUCCGUUCUCGAUGCUGCCGUAAUCGUUGGUGAUAAACCAACCGUUAUUGAUCGGAAAAUCUCCGUUGAGAUAACCAAGUGCAACUUGAGGACCUUUAAGAGCAAUUCGUCCGUCUUGGAUUUCUACCGAAAUUCCGUCGAUAGGUGCGCCGUUAUAAAUAACUCCACCAGAUGUUUCGGUCAUUCCGUAGGUAGUAAUUACAUUGAUGCCAGAGUUACUGGCUUCUUUGUGAAGUUCGGAAUCCAGUGCCCCACCACCAACCAAGACUGCUUUACAUUGCUUUAAAUGAGAAAGGAGUGUCGCAUCACCGUUGAGCGCACGAUGUAACUGGGUAGGAACAAUUGCGGAGUAAUCGGCUUGGCUCUCAACGCCAACAGGUUCAGUACCAAGUUCAAUGGAACGGAUCAAAAUAUUUAACCCUGCGAUAUGAGAUGUGGGAAGAAGAAGUGACCAGCGCUCGCCACUAGAAGCUCCUAGGAAUUUAUGGGUAGCGCGUGCAUUUGCAAUCAGUGAUUGUGCGGAUAAGAGCACUGAUUUUGGAUUUCCAGUUGAACCGGAUGUUGUUACAACGAGAGCGGUUCGCGAAUCAAUCUCAGUGAGAUCAAGUGGAGUGGUCGAUAGCGCGGGUCCAUCGCCCUUAAGUGCGAGCAAUAACGCCUCAAGGAAUUGUGGGGUCGACCACGAAGAUUCGAUGGUGCGUACUUUUCGCUUUACCGUGGAAACCAUAACCACCGUAGGGUAUGCCAUAUGAGCAAGCCGAUUAAACGCGAACCCGGUAGCCGAGAUAUUCCGCAAUGGAAACGUGGCGCAGGAUCUGAAGAUUUCACUGAUGUGCGUUAUGAAAUCGCAGAAGGAAUGGCGAAGAUAACAAUCAAUCGCCCACACGUUCGCAAUGCAUUCCGCCCAGAAACUCUGGCGGAGUUACAACAAGCAUUUAAUUUCGCUCGCGAUGAUGACAAGGUCGGCGUCAUUAUCUUCACUGGCGAAGGCGAUGAAGCAUUCUGUUCUGGCGGCGACAUCUCUGUUCGUGGGCCUGGUGGUGUGUGACGGGUUGCGUAAGUUGUUGGUCCUUAUUGGAUUGGGCCAGCUUCGAAGCAGCUCCAGGAAAUAGCCCCACCGUAUAGACCGUACCCGAAACCGACACAGGUGGUCAGGUAGAGUAUACCAAGGCGCUUGAGAGAAGUAUCCUGAAGGAACUCGGCAAAUUGCCUCCGUACCUUCGGAAGAAGGAGGCCCCACAUUUGGGCAACCAUUUGUGGGGGGCACAGGCCAGGGGGUAGCGACUGUUUAGCAAAAACACAGGGCUCUGCUAAGUCGGCUUCAAGACGACGUAUAGGGUCUGACGCCUGCCCGGUGCCGGAAGGUUAAGAGGAGGGGUGCAAGCUCCGAAUUGAAGCCCCGGUAAACGGCGGCCGUAACUAUAACGGUCCUAAGGUAGCGAAAUUCCUUGUCGGGUAAGUUCCGACCUGCACGAAUGGCGUAACGACUUCCCCACUGUCUCCAGGAUAUGCUCAGCGAAAUUGAAUUCUCCGUGAAGAUGCGGAGUACCCGCGGUUAGACGGAAAGACCCCGUGCACCUUUACUGCAGCUUCAGAGUGGCAUUAGGAAGAAAUUGUGUAGAAUAGGUGGGAGGCUUUGAAGCACCGGCGCCAGCUGGUGUGGAGCCAUAAUGUGAAAUACCACCCUGUUUGUUUCUGAUGUCUAACCUCGCGCCGUUAGCCGGCGUAGGGACCCUCUGUGGCGGGUAGUUUGACUGGGGCGGUCGCCUCCUAAAGAGUAACGGAGGCGCGCGAUGGUAGGCUCAGGCCGGUUGGAAACCGGCUGUUAGAGUGCAAUGGCAUAAGCCUGCCUGACUGCGAGACUGACGAGUCGAGCAGAGACGAAAGUCGGUCAUAGUGAUCCGGUGGUCCCUCGUGGAAGGGCCAUCGCUCAACGGAUAAAAGGUACGCCGGGGAUAACAGGCUGAUGAUUCCCAAGAGCUCAUAUCGACGGAAUCGUUUGGCACCUCGAUGUCGGCUCAUCACAUCCUGGGGCUGGAGCAGGUCCCAAGGGUUUGGCUGUUCGCCAAUUAAAGUGGUACGUGAGCUGGGUUCAGAACGUCGCGAGACAGUUUGGUCCCUAUCUGCCGUGGGCGUCGAAAUUUGAGAGGAGUUGACCCUAGUACGAGAGGACCGGGUUGAACAUACCUCUGGUGUACCUGUCGUGGCGCCAGCCGCGCAGCAGGGUAGCUAUGUAUGGACGGGAUAACCGCUGAAAGCAUCUAAGCGGGAAGCCUCCCUCAAGAUUAGAUUUCA